AAGUCGUAACAAGGUAACCGUAGGUGAACCUGCGGUUGGAUCAUUAAUGUAUUUUUUCCUGGAGUACAGUUUUCGCUUCAUAGCCAAGUGCGAUGAAGCUGAACUGGAAAAGGAAAAGUAACACAACUUGUGCACCUGUAAUUGUACGUUGGCGACUGAUAGUCCAGUGCUUUGUGCUGGACUUGCAUUGGAUUGCAAAGAUCUUUGUGAUCUUUGCAAGUUCAAAAGUUUUUUGAACGAUAUGCAAAGGUCGCCAAAGGUUUUUUUUUAAAACAACUUGACUAAUUUUUUCUAUUUAUUUUUUAAAAUGACUUUCUUCAAAAGAAAACCAAGAACAACUAUUAACAAUGGAUCUCUUGGCUCUC
rnacentral:misc_RNA from 1 species